UACAUGCCCCAAUGGGAUAGGUGCCGCGAUUUCAAGUACACUAUGUUACAAGCUACUUAGCCUAAAGUUAUAGUACGUAUAAUAGAAAGGGACCUCCCCGUACCACUUUGAGCCUCGCAAACCAUCAAAGAGUGCGUUCGUUUAGCCACUGAGAGCAAAAAUCUUCCGCGGCCAGACCUUAGCGAGCGUCGAAAUAAUAUUGGUAGUAAGAAGUAAUCAAGUAAGAAGAAAAAAAGAAUAUAGUACACCUAACCUUAGGAAAGUAAUAAAUAGGGUGCCCUUCUGAUCGAAUAACCUUUUUACCCGACUGCGCUAGAAGGAGGGUUAUGUUUUUCGGGUGGAU